rnacentral:rRNA from 1 species
UACGUAGGGUCCAAGCGUUAUCCGGAAUCACUGGGCGUAAAGCGUGCGUAGGUGGAUUGUUUAGUGUAAUGCGAAAUCCUGUGGCUCAACCAUAUGGACUGUAUUGCAUACUGGCAACCUAGAGGACAUGAGAGGCAAGUGGAAUUACCGGUGUAGCAGUGAAAUGCGUAGAGAGUCGGUAGGAACACCAAUGGCGAAGG